rnacentral:rRNA from 1 species
AAAGUUGCAAAGUACUUUGAAGAGAGAGUAAACAGUGCGUGAAACCGCUCAGAGGUAAACGGGUGGAGUUGAACUGCAAGCCCAGGGAAUUCAGCUGGUGAACUUGGUUUGAGCUUGGUCAAAUUGGUUGUACACUGAGGUCUGUGUAGCAGCAGGUCUCUGCCUUCGGGUAGGGAUGCGCGAGGCACUCAUCAAGUGUUGCGCGCUUCAGAUGUAUUCGGGCCAGUUUGCCAGUGCAUUUUCUCUGGGUGUUCACCAUGACCGGCACUGCUGUCUGGCUGUUGUGGUUAAACCGGCUUUGCAUCGUCCUUGUGGCUUUACUUGGUCGGGAUGGCAGGUAGCCUGUGGGCUAGUCUGGGGCAACUCAGGCAAUUGGUUCAUGGGUGUAAUCAGCUGACCAUGAUGGUUCUGUGCAGUGUGUCGGAGACGGCGGCUUGUGGUGUGAGCAUGCGUGCUGCUUGCUGGCUUGUUCAGGUUUGGUUGCCAUGUUGCUUGUUCUACAGGCCUGGUGACAGCUUGGAUAUGUCUGGUGGGUUGUUGCGUGUGUGAUACUAUUUCCAGGGCCAAUAGUCUAUGGUGUAGUGGUAGACGAUCCACCUGACCCGUCUUGAAACACGGACCAAGGAGAGUAACAUGUGUGCGAGUCAUUGGGCGUAACGAAACCCACAGGCGCAGUGAAAGUAAAGGUUUGGCUUGUCCAGACUGAGGUGGGAUCCUGUCGUGCCAAACGCGCGGUACUACCAAGCAUUGAGCGGCAGGCGCACCACCGGCCCGUCCCAUGGCGUAGUCAUUGUUUACAGUGCACCGUCGGGGCGGAGCAUGAGCAUACAUGUUGAGACCCGAAAGAUGGUGAACUAUGCUUGCGCAGGUUGAAGCCAGAGGAAACUCUGGUGGAGGACCGUAGCGAUUCUGACGUGCAAAUCGAUCGUCAAACGUGAGUAUAGGGGCGAAAGACUAAUCGAACCAUCUAGUAGCUGGUUCCCUCCGAAGUUUCCCUGGGAUAG